CACGUAGGGUGCGAGCGUUGUCCGGAAUUAUUGGGCGUAAAGAGCUCGUAGGCGGUGUGUCGCGUCGGCCGUGAAAACCUGCAGCUUAACUGUGGGCUUGCGGUCGAUACGGGCAGACUUGAGGCAUUCAGGGGAGAACGGAAUUCCUGGUGUAGCGGUGAAAUGCGCAGAUAUCAGGAGGAACACCGGUGGCGAAGGCGGUUCUCUGGGAAUGUCCUGACGCUGAGGAGCGAAAGUGUGGGGAGCGAACAGG
rnacentral:rRNA from 1 species